UCUCAUGUGGUCUAAUGGUAACGAUGUCUGCCGGUCAUCUCACGUAAAGUGGGCAUCGCAGGAGAAUGGGGUUCGAUUCCCUACAUGAGCG